rnacentral:rRNA from 1 species
AGUGAACGCUGGCGGUAGGCCUAACACAUGCAAGUCGAACGGCAGCACAGUAAGAGCUUGCUCUUACGGGUGGCGAGUGGCGGACGGGUGAGGAAUACAUCGGAAUCUACUUUUUCGUGGGGGAUAACGUAGGGAAACUUACGCUAAUACCGCAUACGACCUACGGGUGAAAGCAGGGGAUCUUCUGACCUUGCGCGAUUGAAUGAGCCGAUGUCGGAUUAGCUAGUUGGCGGGGUAAAGGCCCACCAAGGCGACGAUCCGUAGCUGGUCUGAGAGGAUGAUCAGCCACACUGGAACUGAGAAACGGUCCCGACUCCUACGGGAGGCAGCAGUGGGGAAUAUUGGAGGAUGGGCGAAAGCCUGAUCCAGCCAUACCGCGUGGGGGAAGAAGGACUUAGGGUUGUAAAGUCAUUUUGUUGGGAAAGAAAAGCAGCAGUUUAAUCCCCCGCUGUUCUGACGGUACCCAAAGAAUAAGCACCGGCUAACUUCGUG